GACGAACGCUGGCGGCGUGCCUAAUACAUGCAAGUUGAGCGCUGAAGGUUGGUACUUGUACCAACUGGAUGAGCAGCGCACGGGUGAGUAACGCGUGGGGAAUCUGCCUUUGAGCGGGGGACAACAUUUGGAAACGAAUGCUAAUACCGCAUAAAAACUUUAAACACAAGUUUUAAGUUUGAAAUAUGCAAUUGCAUCACUCAAAGAUGAUCCCGCGUUGUAUUAGCUAGUUGGUGAGGUAAAGGCUCACCAAGGCGAUGAUACAUAGCCGACCUGAGAGGGUGAUCGGCCAAAUUGGGAAUGAGAAACGGCCCAAACUCCUACGGGAGGCAGCAGUAGGGAAUCUUCGGCAAUGGACGAAAGUCUGACCGAGCAACGCCGCGUGAGUGAAGAAGGGUUUCGGAUCGUAAAACUCUGUUGGUAGAGAAGAACGUUGGUGAGAGUGGAAAGCUCAUCAAGUGACGGUAACUACCCAGAAAGGGACGGCUAACUACGUG
rnacentral:rRNA from 1 species